rnacentral:rRNA from 1 species
GUAGGUGUAACGGAAGUUGCACCUGU